UACGAGAGGUCCAAGCGUUGUCCGGAGUUACUGGGCGUAAAGGGUGUGUAGGAGGCUGUGUUAGUCGAUGUUUAAAUUCCUGGGCCCAACUCAGGACCUGGCAUCGAAACGGCACAACUAGAGGACGCGAGAGGCAAGCGGAACUCAUGGUGGAGGGGUGAAAUCCGUUGAUAUCAUGGGGAACACCAAAGGCGAAGGCAGCUUGCUGGCGCAUACCUGACUCUGAAACACGAAAGCGUGGGGAUCAAAAAGG
rnacentral:rRNA from 1 species